AUUGAACGCUGGCGGAAUGCUUUACACAUGCAAGUCGAACGGUAGAGGGGGCAACCCCUUGAGAGUGGCGAACGGGUGAGUAAUAUAUCGGAACGUGCCCAGUCGUGGGGAUAACGUAGCGAAAGUUACGCUAAUACCGCAUACGAUCUAAGGAUGAGAGCGGGGGAUCGCAAGACCUCGCGCGAUUGGAGCGGCCGAUAUCAGAUUAGGUAGUUGGUGAGGUAAAGGCUCACCAAGCCAACGAUCUGUAGCUGGUCUGAGAGGACGACCAGCCACACUGGAACUGAGACACGGUCCAGACUCCUACGGGAGGCAGCAGUGGGGAAUUUUUGGACAAUGGACGCAAGUCUGAUCCAGCCAUUCCGCGUGCAGGAUGAAGGCCCUCGGGUUGUAAACUCCGUUUUGUACGGAACGAAAGUUGUCUUAAUACGAUGAGCUCAUGACGGUACCGUAAGAAGUAA
rnacentral:rRNA from 1 species